AGACUGACGCUCAGGUGCGAAAGCGUGGGGAGCAAACAGGGUUAGUUGCCCUGGUAGUCCACGCCUUAAACGAUGUAGAUUUGGAGGUUGUGCCCUUGAGGCGUGGCUUCCGGAGCUAACGCGUUAAAUCGACCGCCUGGGGAGUACGGCCGCAAGGUUAAAACUCAAAUGAAUUGACGGGGGCCCGCACAAGCGGUGGAGCAUGUGGUUUAAUUCGAUGCAACGCGAAGAACCUUACCUGGUCUUGACAUCCACAGAACUUUCCAGAGAUGGAUUGGUGCCUUCGGGAACUGUGAGACAGGUGCUGCAUGGCUGUCGUCAGCUCGUGUUGUGAAAUGUUGGGUUAAGUCCCGCAACGAGCGCAACCCUUAUCCUUUGUUGCCAGCGGUUAGGCCGGGAACUCAAAGGAGACUGCCAGUGAUAAACUGGAGGAAGGUGGGGAUGACGUCAAGUCAUCAUGGCCCUUACGACCAGGGCUACACACGUGCUACAAUGGCAUAUACAAAGAGAAGCGACCUCGCGAGAGCAAGCGGACCUCAUAAAGUAUGUCGUAGUCCGGAUUGGAGUCUGCAACUCGACUCCAUGAAGUCGGAAUCGCUAGUAAUCGUAGAUCAGAAUGCUACGGUGAAUACGUUCCCGGGCCUUGUACACACCGCCCGUCACACCAUGGGAGUGGGUUGCAAAAGAAGUAGGUAGCUUAACCUUCGGGAGGGCGCUUACCACUUUGUGAUUCAUGACUGGGGUGAAGUCGUAACAAGGUAACCGUAGGGGAACCUGCGGUUG
rnacentral:rRNA from 1 species